rfam:Lingula anatina scaffold2663, whole genome shotgun sequence.
UAAAAGGGCCUUUGCCGUGAGUGGCACAUAGUUCCCUGUGGGAGCUGUGCGGAAUCGCAAUCUAGAGAUUUCGGAGGUAUAAUUUCUGAGAUAGGGGUAGCUAGUGUUCAUUAACCUGGUGCCCCA